CGGACGGGUGAGUAACGCGUGAGAAUCUGCCUUCAGGAUGGGGACAACAAUUGGAAACGAUUGCUAAUACCCGAUAUGACGAAAGUUGAAAGAUUUAUCGCCUGGAGAUGAGCUCGCGUCAGAUUAGCUAGAUGGUGUGGUAAAGGCGCACCAUGGCGACGAUCUGUAGCUGGUCUGAGAGGAUGAGCAGCCACACUGGGACUGAGACACGGCCCAGACUCCUACGGGAGGCAGCAGUGGGGAAUUUUCCGCAAUGGGCGAAAGCCUGACGGAGCAAUACCGCGUGAGGGAGGAAGGCUCUUGGGUCGUAAACCUCUUUUCUCAGGGAAGAACAAAAUGACGGUACCUGAGGAAUAAGCAUCGGCUAACUCUGUGCCAGCAGCCGCGGUAAUACAGAGGAUGCAAGCGUUAUCCGGAAUGAUUGGGCGUAAAGCGUCCGUAGGUGGUUUGUCAAGUCUGUGGUUAAAGCGUGGAGCUUAACUCCAUAAAGGCCAUGGAAACUGACAGACUAGAGUCAAGUAGGGGUAGAGGGAAUUCCCAGUGUAGCGGUGAAAUGCGUAGAGAUUGGGAAGAACACCGGUGGCGAAAGCGCUCUACUGGACUUGUACUGACACUGAGGGACGAAAGCUAGGGGAGCGAAUGGGAUUAGAUACCCCAGUAGUCCUAUCCGUAAACGAUGGAUACUA
rnacentral:rRNA from 1 species